UUGGAUGGUAAUUUGCCGGAGAUGUCUUCUUCAAUUGCAAAUCCACUCAUCAGACUCGUUGUCUCCUUUAGAGAACAAGAAGCACCGGGUACACCAACGCCCUCCCUCCCUUCCUCCCGCCAAUCUAGUGUUAGGCUAGGGUUUUGAUCACUGAUUUAUUUCCCCACUCAGCAAAAAAUAAAGUAAAAAGGCAUCCGAAUCAUCCAUGCCUAUACCAUCAAUCUCUCGUUUUCUCUCAUCGUCCAUUCGCCCCAAAAUGCCCAAAUUCCCGAUCGAAGCCCCGCCAACGCUCUCGCCUUCUUCUUCUGCCCACAUCUACUGGAACCAUUUGCAGAAUCACGGUUCAAACUUAGAAAAAACCCUAAAUUCAAUUCAGGCUAAACUGGACACUAGCUGUGUCGCUCAGGUCUUGCAUAAUUGUGCGCUUAAUCAACCUCUUCUGGGUCUCAGGUUCUUUAUUUGGGCUGGUCUUCAACCCAAUUACAGGCACAGUUCGUACAUGUAUUUCAAAGCUUGUCAAUUGUUUGAUAUUAGUCGAAACCCUCGAGUAGUUACUGAUGUUAUUGAGGCUUACAGGACUGAGGUGUCUUUCGUAAGUGUUAAGAUGUUUAAAGUAGUCUUGAAUUUGUGUAGAGAGGCUAACCUUGUUGAUGAGAGUUUGUGGGUGUUGAGGAAGAUGAAGGAGUUUAAUUGUCUGCCGGAUACUACGGCUUACAAUGUUGUUAUUAGGCUGUUUUGUGGUAAAGGCAAUAUGGAUGCCGCUGCUGAGUUGAUGAGAGAGAUGGAUUCGAUUAAUCUUUAUCCUGAUAUGAUUACUUAUGUUGCAAUGGUGAAGGGGUUCGGUAACGUGGGUAGGCUGGAGGAUGCUUGCGCUUUGUUCAAAGUUAUGAGGGGACAUGGGUGUUUGCCUAAUACAGUUGUUUUUUCGGCACUUCUUGAUGGCGUUUGUAGGUUUGGGAGUUUGGAAAUGGCAAUGGAGAUGUUGAGGGAGAUGGAGGACGGUGGUGGGGUUUGUAGUCCUAAUGUUGUAACAUAUACAUCGGUGAUCCAGAGUUUUUGUGAGAAGAGAAGGACAAUGGAAGCAUUGCACAUUUUGGAUCUAAUGGAGGCUAAUGGGUGUGUCGCUAACAGAGUGACUGUCAAUACUUUGAUCAAGGGUCUUUGCACAGAAGGACAUAUCGAGGAGGCUCAUAAGCUUAUUGACAAAGUUAUUGCAGGAGGUAAUGUUUCUGAUGGCGAGUGCAAUAGUUCUCUGGUGGUGUCUUUGCUAAGAAUGAACAAACUUGAUGAAGCGGAGAAGGUUUUCAGGAAGAUGCUAGCUAAUGCAGUAAGGCCUGAUGGCUUGGCUUCUAGCACCAUGAUCAAGGGGCUUUGCCUGGAGGGGCGGGUGCUGGAUGCUUUUUGCUUAUACAAUGAAAUUGAGAAGUUGUGUUUCUCUUCUUCUAUUGAUUUGGAUAUGUAUUCAAUUCUUCUUUCUGGCCUUUGCAAAGAAAGUUAUUUAGUAGAAGCAUCAAAAAUUGCCAAGUUAAUGGUAGAGAGAAGAAUCCCAUUGCUAGCUCCGUAUGUGGACAAUGCAGUUCAACAUCUGAAGAAUGCAGGUGAGGAGGAGCUUGUUUCACAUCUUACUAGCAUACAAAAGUAGUUUUGGGCAGAGAUAAUUUUCUAUCUGUUUCAGAGGUGCUUGGAUAAUUUUGAACAUCUUCAUGAUGCCAAGGUUGGAUCCCUGAUAGUUUAGUGAAGAAAAAUCAACCUUGAGCGGCAGAUGGACUAUUGGAGAUAUUUUACUGUAGAGAGGAAGCUUUAGAUUGCUGUCAAAUUACAUGAGCUGAUCUGUCUUUGUUACAAUGUUGAACUUAGAUUGGGCUCAGCCAAGUUGCCUUUAAUGCAGUUCAGUGACUGCAAUGUAUUAUGAGUUACUUAAGCUACUGCAUGGAAAUUGUUGAGUAAUAGACUAGAUAAGAUUUUCUUAUUAAUUCUGCUUCUACUGGAUCAGCAUGCUUUUAACAGUACAUCUGAAGAUCCCUUCCCAUGAAGGCUGGUAUAGUGUUUGGCACUUUUGCUUAACUGAAUUCAAAACUUUUUUACAGCCUACAUGUGACAUGGAUGAUAAGUCAAAAGUGAGUCCAUUUUGUACAUACUCUCAGUUUAGCUUGCGUUGGUUUGGUAGUUAAACUUAUGUGUUUAUUCUAUUUUAUUGAGAGUUUUAUUCAAAGUUGGUUUUGCUCAACAUCUUGUAGUACUGAAAAUGAGGAAAAAGUAGGGGGGAGGGGGUGUGUGGACAGCAAUUUUCCUUGUAAUGAGAUGUUCUCUUAUAGUACUCAGAUUUUUCUCGUAUGGGCUGCAAUUUUCCCAUGCAGUGCUUCUAAGAAGAAGAAAAUAAAAGAUAAUACAGCGAAAGAAACAAACUAUACUCCUGCCUCUCUUUUCUUGGGUUCUGUGUGUGUGUGUGUGUAUUGUGGUUUGGUGGAUGUAUCAAGUUGGGAUUUAUAAUGUUUCUUUAGCAAAAUUCUCAAAGGCCUCAUAAACAAAGAAGAGAUUUUGAUGAAUGAGAUGAGCCUAUAUUAGUGAGGCUAUUAACCACUACAAUAAUGACAUUCAGGAUGUGGCCAGGACGUCUAUACAUUCCCGUUGAUUUGCCAUUUGAAAUAGCACUAUCAAGAAUAGGUGGAUGGUUGAAGCAGUCCAUAUGGAGAGAUAAUACUUAGAUUUAAUCAGAUAACUCAUCACAUUCAGGAAUAUUAUCAUGUGAUUUCCUUUCUAAUAAAACAUUGAUGAGAUCUUCUUCUAUGUCUAUAGAUAACCAUAGUUUCCUCCUCAAACUAUCUUCAUGGCAGUUUUUAGUUAUGGAGCUGUUCUCUUUCUUCAAUUUUCUUCCUUUAGAAGAGACCUAUAAAUCUGUUCCACUCCUUCGAGAGAGUUGUUAAAUAAGCACUUGUCUUACCAUAAUCUCAAACAAACUUAUGGUGGUAACCCAUGAGGACCAGAAAAUCCCUUUACUGAGUGCUGGCUUUGCUAUUCUUUAAUGGAUGGAAUGUUUUCAGGCAGCUAACAAAAGCAAAUUAUCUUAGACGGAAUAUAACAUGGUAGAGAUAGCGGCCCUUUCACUUGAAAAAUACAUUCAAAAGGUAUCAGGUAUCUCAUUGGUCGGGAUUUUGAGUUUAUUUAUACUUAUUAGUUGUCUUAUUCUCUACAGUGCUGGAUUAUAUUGUAAUUUACAAUAUUCUUGGCUAAUUGUGAUUCUCAUAAUUGUUCAACUCCUCUUGAGUAAUGUGUGUCUUAGAUUAGCUUAAUUCUCAUCUAUAACUAUCUCUUACACUGGGGAAACAAAAAUUGUAAGACUUAAGAGCCUGCUUUUGUUGGCCCCAAAAUUCUGGAAGGAUAGAAGCCUGAAAUAACAUUUGACAUGAACCAACCACCACAGUAUACAAAUUACUCGUCUAUUCCCUAGUUUUUGUUGCUUGAAAUUCAUAUGCACAACAGAGGACCUCCUGCCGAAUUUUCUGUUGUUUCAGCUUUAAAGACUGUUUUAUUUGCUUUGAAGCACUUCCUUAUUUCCAGAAAUCAAUUCAGCUGUUAUCUGAAUUCUUGUUCCUUCCGUAUCGUCCCUUGUAUAACUUGCAUGCUUUAGGGAUUUACAGGACCUGAAUAAGUUAUCAACCCAACUGAUGUUGGAACAAUAGGUCUUCACACCAACCAGAGUUGCUACCAUCAAAAUGAAGGUGAAGAUACUUAAGACUGCAGAUAUAAAUAUUAGAACCAUAAAGUUAGUUAUUUCAGUACAAGAAAAUUCUCUAGGGAAGAUUAAACUAAAAAAAAAAAAAACAUAGUCCAAAAUCAUCAAUAUCUGGGAACAGCUUUGCUCUACAUUUGCAGAUUUGUGGUUUUACAUGGUUGCUAGAAUAAUUGUCAAAGGAAUAAUAUUCGUAUAGAAGGUUUUAUUAGUGAUCCUACAUUUAGAAAAAAAAAUACACAUUAAAGUCUCAUAAUUGCAAAAAUAUCAUUGUUACAUAUUCUGAUGACAUUUUCUGUAUAAAAAUUUUGUGAGAAUUUCAUUUUCCUACACAGAAGGGUAAUGCUAUGUAAAUAUGAAUUUUAUAAAAAUAUUGUGGCUCAUUAAAAAUAUCUGUAAUUGCAAGAAUGUCAGUCAUUAUCACAUCAUUCUUGUGGUAUUUUCUAUACAAAAAUUCUGUAAGGACACUUCAGCCUAAUGAAAGGAGAAGGAUGGAAGAAUUACCUUUCCCAUGCACACAACUGAAACAUCUCAUCAACCUUGGCUUCACUUGAAAAUCCUCAAAUCCAGUCAAGUCCCAGGUAAAUCCAAGGCCAAAACUAUUGUCAGAAAGGUAAGGACUGUAUGAAAAUGGAAUAGCUAUUGUCUUCACAGGCCUGCAAGAAAUUGGCAUAUCCAGGAAAGCUUCUUCUACAACAUAAACAUGGUAACCAGAGCCACUUAGGCAGGGAACUUGCAUGAAGGGAGGGGAAAGCUGAGCCGAGCAAUUGAGGUAUGUGUAACUCUUGACAACAUAGUAAUAUCGGAAAGGCGAUUUAGAGAGAUUGAGGUUUAGAAAGACUCCAUGGACACAGUUUUCUGGGUCAAGAAGACUUAGUUUUUUGGUCUUGUAACAGAUGGAUUUGACAACUAAAUCUCUCCCGUAAGAUGGGAACCGAAUUACAGUUUCAUUUUGCCUGCAAUCUAGUUUGAAACCAGGGUAGCUGCAAUUCUGGGGAUGCCUUUUUUGCAGUGAGAAAGGAAAUAGGAUGUUGGGGGAAUCAGGGCUGCAUUUUACUGCUGGACAGUUUGUGUCCAUGGCAUCUAGAACAAGGAAUGGUGAGGAGAGAAGGAUGAAGAAGAGCAAGACAGCCAUUGACAAGAAAAAGGUGGAGAUUGUACCUAGUUUUGCCCUAGGAUGUCAGUCAGUCUAUAUGUAUACACACACACACACAUAUAUAUAUAGAGAGAGAGAGAGGGAGAGCACGAUUGAAAGACCCGCAAGGAAGGGAUCUACCUUGGCUGGCAAAGACAAAAGAGCUUAACAGCACUGAAAAUGAUAUUCAUAUUGAAUUUUUUUUUUUUUUUUACAGUAAUUGCUUAUGAGUUCUUUAUGUUCUUCUCAUGACCACCUUUUAUUAUUAAUGAAAUACACUAUCAAUAAUGUAUAAAAUCUAUAUCUAUAUGUCAUUACUCUUUUUGUGGAAGAAGACUUAGAAUUGACUUGCAAAUCACGUGGUCAUGAUACUUUGUUUGGUCGUUGGCUUGGAAAAUGGCGCCUGUGAAGGCUUUUGCGGUGGAGGUCUUGCCAAACUGCCUUGACAAAUGAUGUCUUUGAUGAAUAACGUAUUUGAAGGGGCACAAUUGAAUGGUUCACUUUUCUGGUUGUAUUUCUAUAUAACGCUAUUGGGUAAGAAGUAGUUUUCUGAAAGGUAAUCGGAAAGAGGUGGGAUGGUCCCCAGAAAGCAAAAUUCCUUGCACCCUGGUUUACUUCACCUAAGCUGCCUUUGUCCUUAAUGUAAAAUUUUCCCCUUUUUUUUUCUUUUUCUUUUUUAACCGCGACAUCUUUUGUGGUGGUGGCCAUUUUUGUUAAAAAAAACAAA